UACGGGGGGGGUAAGCGUUGUUCGGAAUUACUGGGCGUAAAGGGCUCGUAGGCGGCCAACUAAGUCAGACGUGAAAUCCCUCAGCUUAACUGGGGAACUGCGUCUGAUACUGGAUGGCUUGGAUUCGGGAGAGGAAUGCGGAAUUCCAGGUGUAGCGGUGAAAUGCGCAGAUAUCAGGAGGAACACCGGUGGCGAAGGCGGGUCUCUGGGCAAUAACUGACGCUGAGGAGCGAAAGCGUGGGGAGCGAACAGG
rnacentral:rRNA from 1 species